rnacentral:rRNA from 1 species
UACAGAGGUCCCAAGCGUUGUUCGGAUUCACUGGGCGUAAAGGGUGCGUAGGUGGCCAGGUAAGUUUGGUGUGAAAGCUCGGAGCUUAACUCCGAAAAGUCAUUGAAUACUAUCUGGCUGGAGGGUCGGAGGGGAGACUGGAAUUCUCGGUGUAGCAGUGAAAUGCGUAGAUAUCGAGAGGAACACCGGUGGCGAAGGCGGGUCUCUGGGCCGUUACUGACGCUGAGGAGCGAAAGCGUGGGGAGCGAACAGG